GGGCCGGUAGUCUAGCCUGGUAGGAUGUCGCCCUUACGAGGCGAAGGUCCUCGGUUCAAAUCCGAGCCGGCCCA
rnacentral:tRNA from 2 species